rnacentral:misc_RNA from 1 species
AACGCACGAGACCUGCGGACCUGCGGAGGGAUCAUUACUGAGGAGGGUCCAUGGCCCGAUCUCCAACCCUUUGAUAAAAACACCAUGUUGCUUUGGCAGGCCCGCCCGUUGGGGCCGCGGGGGAUCGCCGGUCCCUAGCCCGUGCCUGCCGGUAGCCUUCACAAAACUCUCAAAAUGUUGUCGUCUGAGAUGAUUAGAAUAAUAAAACUUUUAACAACGGAUCUCUAGAUCGGAAGAGCA